GUGCUCACUUCAGCAGCACAUAUGCUAAAAUUGGAAUGAUACAGAGAAGAUUAGCAUGGCCCCUGUGCAAGCAGGACAUGCAAAUUCAUGAAGCGUUCUAUAUUUUU
rnacentral:snRNA from 1 species